UACGUAGGGGGCAAGCGUUAUCCGGAUUUACUGGGUGUAAAGGGAGCGUAGACGGCGACGCAAGUCUGGAGUGAAAGCCCGGGGCCCAACCCCGGGACUGCUCUGGAAACUGCGUCGCUGGAGUACGGGAGGGGCAGGCGGAAUUCCUGGUGUAGCGGUGAAAUGCGUAGAUAUCAGGAGGAACACCGGCGGCGAAGGCGGCCUGCUGGACCGUGACUGACGUUGAGGCUCGAGAGCGUGGGGAGCAAACAGG
rnacentral:rRNA from 1 species